rnacentral:rRNA from 1 species
GACGAACCGUGCGAACGUUAUUCGGAAUCACUGGGCUUAAAGCGCGUGUAGGCGGCCCGGCGCGUCGGAUGCUGAAAUCCCCCGGCUCAACCGGGGAAGGGGCGCCGAUACGGCCGGGCUGGAGGGGGGUAGGGGGCGCUGGAACUCACGGUGGAGCGGUGAAAUGCGUUGAGAUCGUGAGGAACGCCCGCGGCGAAAGCGAGCGCCUGGGCCCUUUCUGACGCUGAGACGCGAAAGCCAGGGGAGCGAACGGG